CAGGGCUGUUGCUGCAGGACCCCCAGAGUUAGGGGAGGGCAGAGGCCAGGCCCCGGAAGAGGGGUUGGUUGCUGUCUGGUGUGCAGGGGCAGCCCACAGGGAGCGGAUUGGCACCUGUACCCGUGGAUGGGGGCAACGUGACCAGCCUUGGGUGCUUCCUGGGCUGCACCUAUGCCACCUUGGCCACCUGGAGGACCGCCCACCACUGCGGGCCCCCUGGAGCCCGACCACCUGGGGCGCCCCCACGUGGGGCCAUGUGCCGCCUGCACUUGGCUACUUAGUCUUUUCCCCAGCCUCUCCAGGCCCUAGCAGGAUGACAAGUAGGCAGCUCUGGGGCCUGGGACAGCCCAGCUGGGGACCCAGGAGGUCAGACUGCCAUGGAUCCUAGGGCAGGGCUGGAGGUAAGCUGGGCUUUCUUCUCCACCAGCCACAGCUUGACAGACUCCCAGCCUGCCAGGGCCCGAGACCCUGUGUCCACGUGACCUCAGUGAGUCCCCCACCUGCUGCAGGGGGUCCAGCACCCCACAGGGUGCAGCACCAGAACUGCGGGGAGCAGCACAAACUUUGCUGAGCCUCCCUGUCCAACCAAGCUCUUUAGACCAAGCCACUUCCUCCUCGGGGAGCCCAGGCCUCCGUGAGUUGGGCUGGGUGGGGGGGUCUCAGGUUGCCCCCGAAGGUCUCUGCACUCCUGCCCUUCGCCUGACAGAUGAACAGAUGCCUUCAUUGCCUGGAGCCGCCAGCGUGGUGAGCCAUUGGCCCCUGCCUGCCUCCAGGGUCCUAUGGUCAUGGCCAGCUCUGCCUGGGCCCCACUGGGGCUGCCUGCACCCAGAGACGAUGCUGCUGGGAGCUCAGAGCUCCCGAGGCCUAAGCCCUGUGUCCUCUAGCAGAGGUAUGGCCUGUGGCAGGGUGGCACUCCGGCCAGCCCUUCUCCGGCACAGGGUCCCUGUCCCUGGUUUACCCUGGGCUGCAGCUGUAUUUCUCCCAUUUUGGGAUGAGAAAGCCACAAAACUCUCCUGCAUUGUUCUUAAGGGCACCCCUGCUAAUUCAUUCCCCAAAUAAAAUUUUCGGUGUUGAUCUCCACA